rnacentral:piRNA from 1 species
UGCUUAGCCAAGUCAGGGUACAAUUUG